rnacentral:rRNA from 1 species
AGAGUUUGAUCAUGGCUCAGGAUGAAUGCUGGCGGCGUGCCUAAUACAUGCAAGUCGAGCGGUAAGGCCCUUCGGGGUACACGAGCGGCGGACGGCUGAGUAACGCGUGGGAACAUGCCCCAAAGUGAGGGAUAACGCACCGAAAGGUGUGCUAAUACCGCAUAUGGUCUUCGGAUUAAAGGAUUUUAUCCGCUUUGGGAGUGGCCCGCGUACGAUUAGAUUGUUGGUGAGGUAACGGCUCACCAAGUCGACGAUCGUUAACUGGUCUGAGAGGAUGAUCAGUCAGACUGGAACUUGAGACACGGUUCCAGACUCCUACGGGAGGCAGCAGUAAGGAAUCUUCCACAAUGGGCGAAAGCCUGAUGGAGCAACGCCGCGUGCAGGAUGAAGGCCCUCGGGUCGUAAACUGCUUUUAUGAGUGAAGAAUAUGACGGUAACUCAUGAAUAAGCACCGGCUAACUACGUG